AAAAACCUUGCCAAUAAUAUGGGACAGAGUUUGAAUGCCGGCAACGCAGCCUCUCUCCCUGGCAAAUGUGGCGUCAACAUCCCUUACAAGAUCAGCACCUCCACCAACUGCGCCACGUAUGUUAAACUCACCACUCACUCCAUAUGCUUUAUUUUAAUUUCCUCACACAUUUCAUUCAAAAUCUCUUAGAGAGAAAUGUUAAGACUCUUUGACACACUCUUAUGAUCGAACACACUCUUUUUUAUUUUAUGAAUUUUAACAAAUUAGAUGGUGUAUAUUCAAAGGAAUGUGUUAGAAAAUAUUUUUUUUAACACUUAUAUUUCACUAAAUACUUAAAAGAGAAAUGUUAGUUAUACUCACUUUAAGGUUGAGUCUAAUCAAAUGAAUUAAUCUUUUGUAAUGUGAUGAACCAGAAUUUCACUUUUCACUUAAAGAAAUAUUUAUAGUUAGUUAUGGUUUGAUUGUGUUUAAAUUGAAAAAAGGGGGAGAAAUUUUUUUAAAAAAAUUUACACUUUUUUUUUAUUUUAAUUUAAAUAUUUAUUUUAAAUUUUAUUUUAUUCUUUUUUCUUUCACUUAACUAAAUCAUACCUUUCUUUUCAUGUCUUGAAAAUGAUUACUAUAUAAUAAAAUAAAAUAGAGAAAUAGUAUUUUUCCUUUAGUUACUUGAAAGAAAAACAAAACUUUUUAUCAUUUAUUUAUGAAAAUUUGUCGUAUAUGAUAUACAAACAUUCCCAUAAACAAGAGAUAGAAAAAAAAAAAACAGAUAUCUUUUACCUUUUUAAGGAUAAGGACCACAAAUAGUAUAUAUUCAUAAAUGAUAUAGCAGUUUAUUUUCGACAAACUAAAAAUGAACAUUGUGUUAUUUGAAAGAACUAAAAAUAUAUUUGAUCAUAUUUUUAAUUAUGACUUAAAAUUUAUUUAAAAUCACGAAAAUAAUUAGUUUUUUUAAUUACUUAAAGAGUUUCAUUUAAAAUUUUACAUUAAAAAGUAUUUUUAAGAGAAAAGGAUAAAAAUAGGUUAUUAACUUUAGUCAUACUUAAAAUGGUAUUCAGAUCGAUGUUUUAGAACUAGUGUCACAAGUUUGUUUAUUUUUUUAUGCAUUUCCUUUUGUGACUUUAUUUUUCUUGAAAUUUCGUGGUUAUUAAUUUGAGCUAAUUUAUAUAAUGGUUUGUGCAAUAUUGCAGCAUCAAGUUCUGAAGGGCAAUUUUUCAGUCGCAGAAUUCUAUAUAUGAUAUAGUAGUGCUGUAGAAUUUAACUAUUGUGUAAAAUAAAGGGAGGGCAAUGAGGGAUCCACCAGUGCGAGUCUCUUCUUGGUAUUGCCGUGUCCCUUAGUUGUUUCAGACUUUGAUCCAGUUAUUAUGUUAUUUUUACGUGUUCGCUGAAAUUUGUCUCAGUUGGUUGUUUGCAUAUGUAAUAAUGACAUAAAUAGUACUUUUUGCAGUUAUCCUGAUGGUUCUUCUCACCUUAAUUUGUGUUUGGGGUUCAAAAUCAUUUAUCAUCCGCAAAUAUUUCUCUAGAAAUAUUACAUAUAUGACCGCACAAUUCGACUCAUACAUGUUUACGAAGGAGUAUCAGUGAAUCAAAAUUUCAUGCAAUUGUUUUACAACUGAAUAGACCUAAAGGACAGAAUCACGUGAGUUUAUAAGUGAAAAGAAUAACAUAAAGGUAAAUUUAUAGAACUGUGAAAAACAAUUACACAACUUUCAGUAAGAUUUUAAAUUGGAAAAGGAAAAGGAUAAUCUAUAUUUAUAUUAUAAACACAAAUCGGACCCUCACAAAUGCCAACAUUUUACACGUGGCAUUUUGUGAAUCAUCAGAAAAAAUGAGACCAUCUUAAACUAAUUAAUUAAAGUAUUAUUAACUAAAUUGUGUAUAUUGUUGUGGCUGAAUGGCUGAUGUGUCUCAUAUAGUAAUAUUGUGGUACACCCAAUAUAAUGUACGAAAUGUCGAUUUUGUCCUUUGGUAAGUCCAAUCGAACUUGUAACUUUUGCGUUAUUAGCACAACGCUUUAAUCAAUUAAGCUAAUAAAUCAAUUAUGUUAUUAAAUAAUUAAAGUCGUUAUAUAUAAUACUAAAAAUUUUAAUGUAUAUGUAAAUUUACAUAAUAAAUUUUGUGAUAAUUAAUUUUUAUAAUAAUUAAUUUUUUUUAUAUAUAUAAAUUGUAAAUAAAAAUCAUAAGUUCAAUAAAAAUUUACAUAUGUAAAAAAAUACUAAAUUUAUUUAAUUAUCAAUUAUUGUAAUAAACAUCUAAAUACAUCAUUCAAUUAAAUAUCAUAUUUAUUUAAUUUUCAAUCACUAUAAUAAACAUCUAAAUACAUUAUUCAAUUAAAUAUCAAAUUUAUUUUAACGAUUAAUUACUGUAAUAAACAUUUAAAUACAACAUCCAGUUAAAUAUCAAAUUUGUGUAAUUAUCAAAUUUUGUAAAUAAAAUAAUGUAUAAAAAAAUUAUAAUUUUAAAAAAAUACAUAAAAAUUCAAAACAUACGAAUUGUCCAUUCGUAUGUUUUGAAUUUUUUUAAUACUCAUUUCUUUUUUUCGACGAUGAAAAACCAUCAUACUUCAUUAUAUAUCUGUAAACAACACAUAUACACCACCGACAACAAUAAACACUCAUGAAAGGAUGCUAACAGAAACAAAUUACAAUAAGGGAGUGCGAUUUUACAAAAAAAAAAAAAAAAGCACUGCAAACAUGAAAAAACUAAUAUGCUAUUUGUAAUAAAAAAAAUACCCAUAAAGGUAUUUUCGGUAUUUUGGAAAACUAUUGGGUGUACUAACAAAAAGUUGGAUGCCCCAAACAGUUCUCAAGGGAUUAACCCAAAAGAAAAAAGAAUGCAAAAGUCCAACCCAAUAGGCCAAUUCAACGUUAAAAAAAAGGGAUAAAUGGUUAAGUGCUUAGUUUUGGGUCAGAAAGAAAAUACUUUAAGAGUGUGUUUGGAUAGGGUAAUUUAACUAGGUAAUGUAUUUUUUAUAGGGAAUUAAAUUUUUUUUAUUAAAAGUAACUGUUUGGAUAUUUUAGUAAAAGAAAUUCAAAAUUUUAGAAUUUUAAAAGGGAUUUUAGUUAGUUGAAAGAAUAGAAUUUUAAAUUCUAUCUUCAAGGGAGUGAAUUUGGAAAUUCCUCUCUCCGUUGCCGUCAUGCCCCUCCUCCACCACCUUCACCUCGGCGGCAACUUCUUCUCCGGCCAGAUCCCUCCCGAGUAUGGCACCUGGCAGCACAUCUAGUCCCUCACCCUCUCCGGCAACGAGCCUGCUGGCAACGAGCUCUCCAACAGCAUGCUCUCCGGCGAAUGUUAACUAAGAGGAUUGUUUUAGGGAUUUUCUGCUCAAGAGGUUUUACUUGUUUGGAUUUGAACGGAGUUUGACGUCGGAGAGAAUGGUGAUGGAAUCAGUGACUGCGUCGCCGUGGCGGUACCGGAGAGGGAGUAAUAGUUUCUAAAGCAAGAGGCCUUCGCCAUUCAGAUCAUUGGGGAAGUCGAUGGUGUUUUCGUUCAGGUAUUAUAAAGGGAUGAAGUCACCGUUCUUCCGGAGGAGGGGGUUUUUCCCGUUGUCGGAGUGAUAACUGCUAAAUAAUUGUGAAUUUAUAGGAGUUAAAUAGUUCAAUUUUGGCUUAAAAUUAAUUAUUUAGCAGUUAUUUGAAAUUAAAAGUUGAGAAAAUUAAUUAAAUUGAAUUUCUGGUUGCAGAUGCGAAAAAUGAGGUUACAUUAAGCAAAAGUGGCAACAGAAAGGAAGAAAAAGAAGAAAUUCUGAAGCAGGCCCAGUCCAAUAGGGGUGCUAAGCGCGCAUCAGGCACUAAGCGAGCAAUUAACUGCAGGCGCUAAGCGUGGCGUUAAGCACGAAGGCAGAAACCGUUACGCGCGCUAAGUCCAGCUAGGUGCCCAGCGCGCAAUCCAACAGAAGCACAGGCCCAGCGUGCAUGGCGCGCCCAGCGCGCGAUCUGAACGCGCUAAGCGCGAGGUGUGGCACUGAGCGCGAUUACGAAGGCCCAUAAGCCCACUUCAGCAACUAUAAAUAGAGAGGCAGUCCCAAGGAAACUUCACCUCGUCUCAGAGCACUACUCUCAGUACUUCAAGUCUGAGUUUUCUUUCCUCUCUCUAUAUUCUUUGUUUUAUUAGCCCCAUUCUUCCUUUCAUCCCCAGUUGUAAGCCCUCAAUGGCCAUGAGUGGCAAAUCCCCUAACUAGGGCCUGACAGGCCUAAAAAGCCAACGAUGUACAAUGAGCUUCAAGAGUUAUCAAUGCAAAGGAAUUUAUUCCAGGUUUUUCUGUUCUAUUUCUUUUCUUGUAUUCUUGCAUUCAUUCUUAGAUCUCUUUUUGGGUUUUAUUCGCUCGGGAGAGGGUAAUUCCCAAUAAAUAUUUAAGAUUCAAUGCAUGCAUCAGUUUUAGGAGUUAUACGCUUGGGAAAGGGUAACACCUAAUAGAACAUCUUAAGAAAAGAACCCUUGGGUUAGCAUUGCUAGGCAUAGAAUGAUAACCCACUGCCCAUGCAUUUAAGCAACAUCUAGCACUUAAUCUUAAUGCAUUUUAAUUAUUGAAUCUUCGCAAAGGCAUUUGGGAGAUAGGUGGUUAAAAUAGGCUUGCCAACGUGAGGCAUCAGAGGCAAGUAAUUAACAGAUGUGGUUAGAACUAAUACCAUUUCAUUGAUAAUGAAUAUCAUAUUUACAUGCAUCGUAGGCCAAUUGGGUUUGUCUGGUCUUGGCAUCUUUAUCAAUUGCUUUUCCUUUUUACUUAUUUGUUUUAGUGAUAGCACUCUAUUCCUACUUUCAUUCCUGUUUUACUACUUUACUCUCACUUGCAAAUUGAAAAGUAUUUAAUAAGUGCAAUAAAAUCCCUGAGGACACGAUACUCGGACUUCCGAAGUUUACUACUUGUAACGAUUUGGUGCACUUGCCAAAAAGUCACAACACGGAGUCGAGCGUGAGGUAUAGCAGUGGGGGGAGCUCGUCGCAGCGUAGCAAGUCGAUAGCGAGUCCGAUGUUUUUGUAGUCGUUUGGGGUGGCAGCCGCGGCGGUGUUCUCGUCGAGCCGGCUGAGGUGCAGGGAUCCCGAGGCACUAGUGUCGUCGAAGAGGUUUAACCGGAGGAAAUUCUGUGAUUUGGUGGUAAUUAUGUUAUUGUUGAAGAGAGAGAUUGUAUCCAAAUACAAUUUUAAAAAUAAAGAAAUUUAAAUUGAACCAUUUGAAAUUCUCAGAAUUUAAAAUUCUUUAAAAUUUUAAAUUGUCUCAUCCAAACACACUGUUUGGUCUUCGUUUGGAACAAACAUCAUGUUUUCUCUUGUUUUAGUAGAUUAAUUGGCUAUAGUCUCAUGAGAUCAUUAAGCUCUGUAUGAUAUUGGAUUACUGGUGUAAUCUACAUAAUAUGCAGCAUAUCUUGUAUAAAGUUUAUGGUGCUUGAGUAAUGACCACCCAUCCCUAUGGUUCAUUCCUCAUCAUCUUCUAUAAUGUAUAUUUUGUUUAUAAAAUAAGAAUGAAGCCAACUUGAUGGGAGGAAAAAUGUAGAGAUACAAAAUCAACUACAAUAAAAACUUGUCGACGACUUUUUGAAUGACUAAAAAGUAACAAAGGCUAUAAAUAUAAAAGCUAAAACUAUAUUUAAAACAUUUCUUUUUACAAGUCAAAGAAUAUAUAAUGAAUUCAUAAUUUUUUUUUAAAAAUGACCUCUUUACGAAUAAUCUAUAAAUUAUAAACCAUUGAAAUUUAAAUGUAAUUGAAUUAAUUUAUUGUGUUUAGACUAUAAAUAUACCGAUUAGGGUUAAUAUUAUCUCGUGAUUUAGGCAAAAUUUUUAUAAAAAUAAAAACUACAAAAAAAACUUAAUAAUAACAACAAAUUAAUUUAUAUGUAUUUUUUUAAAAAAAUUUGUCAACAAAAUUAUAACGACACAAAUAUUAGUGACAAAAAUUAUCAUUACACUACUAAAAAAACUUUCUUACGACACACUUUCAACGACGGUUGCAACAAAAUUGUCUUAGUAGACUAGACGGUGGCAUUUGCAUAAAUAUAGAUGCUUCUACAACGACAGUUACUAAUAAGACCGUCUUAGUAAGAUACGAUGCGAUAUUUUUGAAAUUAAUUAGAAGUUAUUUAAGACAAUUUCGUUGUAAAACCGUCUCGGAAAGUAUGAAUACAAAGACGGUUUUUGGAAACCGCCUUUAAGUUUAAAUAUAUAUGCACACGCUCAUAACUUUCGAAUUUCGAUUUCACUCUUUCUCUUUGUUUCUCUCUCCGAAUGCCACGCUUCGCGUCCGUUGAAUCUUCAUCUCCCAUUUUAGCCAGCCCUGGAUGUUUGCAUAAAGGAAGAAGUGUUGGAGACUUCAAUUGUCACGAGAGGAGGCCAAGAAAGGGUGUCGCUUCGGUGCCCCCUUUGGGUUCAGUUAUUGAACUCAAUGAUUCCGACACGGACGAAGACGAGGACCAUGAUUUGGACAAUGCAAUCGCCAACGCAGUGAACGGUGCUUCUUCUUCGGUAGAGAGUCCGUCCAAGAAGCAAUGGACGAGCGAGGCUGAAGAAGUGGUUUUGCCAGUUGUAUUUGUCACCCCUCUCCCUCCGACGCCGGUGCCUCCUCCCACUUUAAUGUUGUCCUUGCUGGCGAUGGAAUAUGCAUCUAAUUCGGCGGCAUCGCGCACCAACGCGAGUAAGAGUUUGAGUCUGAAUAGCUCCAAGCAGUUCUGGAAGGCUGGGGAUUACGAUGGCGCUCCUCUCGGAGGCUCUACAGGUGUGUUUUGUUCUUAUGAAAUCGAACCUUUUCUGAACCUUCUUUGUUAUGCAAUGAAUAAAUUCAAUAAGUUCUUCAUUGUCAUAAAUAUUCUUGUUGCCCUUUUCUUUUUGGUUGAUUCUUUUAUUCCUUUUGUCUAGUUGUCACAAAGCUGAGGUUCUUUUCGUUAGCUUGUGUUGUUGACAAUGUAACCAUAAUCUUGUUCAUUUUUAGAGGAUGUAUUAUUUUCCCAUGUACUAAAAAUGAUUCUUCCAUCAUCCUGUUCAUUUUGUUGCUUUGACUGAAAGCACAAACUUUGAAGGAGUCAUAUAUGUAGUGCAAAUUAUAUGAAUAUUUAUUUAUUUUGUUGCAAAGUCGCAAAGAUAUGAAUAAUUUCUCUGUUGAGAGGGAUAUAAAGUUUGUGUAAAUGUAUGACUGUCCAUGUUAGAAACUAAAUAGAAAAGUUUAUUUAAAGAGGAAUUAUUUAAUUUAAUGCCCUCAACUUUUCAAAUGGUUUUUAUCCCACAAAAAUUAAAUGGUGUCAAUUUAGUAGUACAUCUAUAAUGAGAAAAGUGAAUAUAAUAAUAAGAGUGGAACUGGAAGGAGACAAGGGGUGCAAAUUUUGGUUAUGCAAAUUUUGGUUAUGGUUUUUCUACUCUCUCUCUAUGUAGCUGUAGCUGGAGCCUCUUAACUUCCAUCUGUUGCCUAUUUGAUAUAUCAUUUCCCUUGCCACUGUAUCCUGAUCUCCAUGAAUGCAAUUUCAGUUUAUGGCCUUGGAAUAUAAGCUUACAUAUCCCAGUGGGAGAGCCACAACAAUGCUAAUCAACAGUUUCCAUACAAAAACUAGAGCAGAACUUGCUGCGUAUACAUUACAAAUUAUGUUAAUUUGGUCACUCAGAAGUUUUUUAUAACUUUCAUUCUAGUACUGAUCUCGCACAUUGUUCAUUAACCUUUCUACUUAUUAAUCAAAGCAUUGGGGAAACACCUUAAACCUUUUAAUCCCUCUUAAUUUUUAUGCAUAGAUUAUUUUGUUUCUAUUUGCUUUCCUUUUAAUAUUUAUUAAUUUAUUGCCUAUGAGAAUCUUCCAGGAACCAAGUUCGGCAGCUUGGGAAGUAUCUAAGCAUAAGUUUCUGCUGGAGUUGCUUUAAGUGGUUCUUCAGUGGUAUUGGGGAUUUAUGUGGGUUUGACAAGUUCCCUAGCUUUGGUUUGACACUAUUUAAGAACACGUAAGGCUCUUGUGAUUUUGAUUUUCUUCACAUUUAGCUUAAUUCACCUCUCACUCACCUUAAAUUAUGUAGCAGCUGUUCUUGGGUAUCACACAUGUAUAUUGUUUAAUGAGACCUAAUGAUUAUCAUAGCAGCCUGAGAGUUACAUUGUACAUAGUCCUAAGGCAGUAUGUUACUAUUAAGAGAAGAUAGUGAACAACAAGUGAUAAAUGUUUUUUGAAAAGCAUAGAUAAAUAUACUUUUGUGAUGGUGUCAUUUCUAUGAUUUCACUUGUGCCAUAAGGUACACUACAAGCAGGAACUUUUUAGAUUUCAUAGAAGUCCAUGAGCUAGUGGGCUUUUGACUUGUUAUUAAUUAAGAGAAGGCAUACUAACAAACUAUAAGUCUAUAACCUUGAGAAUAAUUACAGGUAGUAAUGACAAACUAAGGAAAAUAUCAGUUGACCCAAAGUUGCGCUGGAGUGCACACACACUUUGGACAAUGCCUAGGUUUGUCAUAGACUGCUUAAUUCCUUGUUUUUUUUUUUUUGCAAAAAUAUGGUAGGUAGAUAGAAUUAAGAGGAAAAAAAGAGAUAGAAAAAGUGGCCACGAGUUAAGAAGUUAAAAAUACUUUUAAUAUAAACAAGCAUAAUUACAUGGACUAUUUUCUCAAAUGGAUUGAUAAAAAGAAAUAGACUAAUGAAAUUGCAUUCUAGGUUUGCAAUUUAGCCUUUAGUUUGUAGAGUUCUAGUGUUAUGGUCUUGCUGCUAUUGAUUGAUUGGUUGUGGCUCUCCUGAACACUUGUUCCAGGUUAAAGUUUUAUUAAUCAACCUCGGGUACAAUGUAACAGAUAACACCUUGUAUUUGAAUACAUGGAGCAUGACCUUGCUGGUCUAGUACUUUCAAAGUUAGUCAUUACACUUUUAAUUUUUCGUUAAUGACAAAUGUUUAGUUUAUUUUUCUUAUAACUCCAAAUUUAUGCAGUUUCAAAGUUCAAAUAAAGGUCAUUGACAACACAGGCUCUUCAUCAUUCACUCUCUUUGAUCUGAUCAUGUUGUUUCUAAUCAUAUUGGUAAAUCUGCAUCAGAUAUCUUUGUGCUUCUAAUGCCAAGGUGAAUAGUAUAGCAAAAUUAAACCAUGAUAUAUAGUAAAUUUAAAAGCAAAACAACGCUCUUAUUUAUUCAUUUUAUUGUUUAACAUUCUAUAUUUUAUGCAAAUUACAGAAUCUUCCAUAUGAAAUAAAAAAUUGAUUGCACAAACAGAUUCUGUUCAAAAUUGAUGUUCCUGAUUCAAACCAAGUACAAAGAUGGAAAAAUUAUACUUUGAAAAAAUGACAUGAUAGAGAUACAAUUGACAAAUUUAUCAGUCUGAACAAUAUACAGGUUGAAUCUAUUAUUAAAUUAAUUCAUUCAUGUUCUGUGGUCUGUUUAAUUAUUAUUCUUAUGAGGUUUACACUGAAUUGAAGUUGUUCAAUUAGGAGGAAGCUGACUUGAAUGAGACAAUGGAAGACUUAGCCAGGGACAAGCGAUUGGUACAAUCCUCAGUGGCUUUAUCUAAUUCAAGUAAAAAUAUAGAGAGAAUAUAAUCAUGUUAAUUGUUUGAAUAAGUUAUUCGUUUAUUUUUAGACUAAUGUUGAAAAUGGAGAUUCAAACAGUAGAGGUAUACUUGGUCUAACAGACAUUGAACAGACUCCUACCAGCAAUAUUUCAGGAAAGUGAUCAUCUGAUGAAAUUGACGAUCAAGACGUUAUCCAUUUGUAUUUGUUCAAUUCCUAUCUUAUUUGCUUAUAUUAUCUCAAACAGCUGCCAUACAUUCCUUCAAUCUCAAAGCAAUAAUGUCAUUAUUUCAUUUUUGGCAGCUUUAUCAAUAAUCAUUCAUGUCCCUCUCCUGGUUAUUCACAAUGCAAUUCAAGUAUGGGAUUCCUGAGGCAAUGAUUUCAACAAUUUUGGCAUACUGGAUUCCCGAUAUUGGUCAACUGAUAUUUAUUACAUGUGGUUGGUGCCCUGGAACAUGGAAAGGUUUCUUUUUUAUCAUUCAAAGAUCUUUGCUUGUUGCCAAGCUUUCCAUUUCAUCCGAUGCCAUGUUAUGGUGAGCUUUUUUCUCUGUCAACUAAAGGGGUUAAUAAGUUCUUUAUAAAUGCCAUGAUUGCUGAACAAAUUUGGAUUUCCUUUAUAUAGGAUAUAGAUAAAUGUAUAUGCUGAUAGAGGACUGAGCUGCACUAAGCUAAGUAGGAGCUAAUUGAUAAAGGUUUUCUUGCUCAUUUUAUUCACAAAUAUGGUUUAUAUAGAGAUGCCAAUGAUGAAUACAAAGCCAAUCAUUGGCUGUUCACUAUAGGACCUGUUAUGGGAUAAUAACCACAAUAGGUAGUGGAGGUAACUAAUUUAACCACAAUAAUUAAGAUUAAAUUUUAUUAUUUAUAGUAUUAACAUCAAUGGAUGGGAAAUGAUGAUAGCAUUUGGUUUCAUGGCUGCAGCAAGGUAAAUGACAUGGUUUACCUUUCUAUAGUUAUUGUCAUUGAUUUUGUCAUCAUCUCCGAUCCGAAAUAGUAUAUCAAGCUUAAGCUGCCAUUUGAUUUUUCAUUUGUAGUUGAUUUGGUGCGGAAUAUUAACUUUAUAUAUAAUAAAUGAAUGAAUAUAAAAAUUAAAAUAGUAAUAGCAUAUAUUUAUACAAAGAGAUAAAAACAAAAAUAAAGAAGAGACAUACCUUAAUUCUCUGUGAUGUGUGAUACAAUUGUGGUUUCUAAUUCUAUCAUAUGCUGGGAUUAAUCAGUUACUUUCGAUGUUUCUUUCUUACUUUCUCUUUCUCUUGUGGUGGUGGGCGGUGAAAGAAAAGUCUAUAGGUUAUCAAGUAUUAUGGAUUUAAGAUUGCCCAGUGGCAGUCACUUAAUUACCAUGAAUCUAGGGAACAGCAGGGUGAAUAUAAUUCUCCUGUGAAGCAAGCUUCAGUGAAACCCAGAAACUAUAACAUAAUUAAUAUGCUUUAUGAAAUUAAUCUUCAAAAUUAGUAUCAAAAUUUUAAAUUUUAAUAUUUUUAAAAUUAAUUUCUGAAAUGUAUUUAAUAUAUUCUAAAACUAAUUGCAAAAAUAUUCACUUAUUGUCAAAAUAAAUUCCAGAACUUUAUUUGCAGAUAUAGUUAAGAGGCUUAUAGUAUGUAUAUUUUGUCUUUCUUACACUGAUAACUAUAUAAGUAGUUUUCUAAUUUAUAGCACUUCGGAAAAAAAAUCAAAAAAGAAAAACUAUUAUAUAAGAAUCGUAUUGAUGAUGAGGACAUCAUAAGAAAAUGUUGUGAUAAGAAUGAGAUAGAUACGUGUGUGUCCAACAAGGAACUACAUAUUUUGGAAUUAGAGAUAGAUACGUGUGUGUCCAACAAGGAACUGCAUAUUUUGGAAUUAGUGAUAUGAUUAUGUGAAGGUGUACAUAUUUUUAGUUUUUUUUUUUAAAAAAAAAACAAAGACAGACAAUUAUUUAAAAAAUAUAUAUUAAAAAGAUUAUUUUAAAAAUCAUCUUUAGAAUGUUUAAAUUUUUUUUUUAAAAAAAAAGUAUUUUAAGAUGAUUGUUUUAGAAUUCUCAUUUAAAAAAACAUUAUGAGAUUUUAUAUAAAAAAAAUUAUUUUAGAAGGAUAUCAUUUUAAGAUGUUUUUAGUUAAAAAUCAUAUUAAAAAUAUACAUUUUUUUAAGAUAAUUUUUUUUAUAAAACUGUCCUAAAAAUUGAAGAUUUUUUAAGCUUUAUUUAUGACGAUAAUUAAUAAUCAAUAUUAAAUGUCUGAAUUGAAUUAACCGACAUAGAAAAUGUUUUUUCCAAUAAUGAGUAACAACAAAUUUGUCAAUAAUAUUUUCAUUUCUUCUUUUAAUUGUUUUUAUACCAUAUUAUUAAUUACUUUUUCUUUUCUUUUCUAACUUUCUUCUUUAAUUUUACUCCAUUAUUAACCCUAAAAUGGGAUGUACCACUGAUCACAAAAUGCAAUUCAAUCUUUCAUAGUAUAGUAUUUUCGAAAUUCGGUGCCCCGUUUAACCUACCUUUGAAUCUUUCCCAUACCAGAGUUUUACUUGAAAACACUGAAAUGGGUAAUGAAUAAAUCAGAAUUUAUGUCGUCUGAGGACAGUAAAUUGGUAGAGCGAAACAUUGACCAGCGACCAUGCCUUAAUCCACCCGAAUCUACUGUAUCAGCUUACACCAAAUCAAAGUCUCAAAUUAAGCCAUGAAUUAAAGACGAAAUAUCAAAGUUAAAAUCUUAUGAAAACUAAAACCUAAAGUUAAUUAUAUAGAGACUAAGAGCAUUAAAAUGAUAUAGAGACAACACUUCAUCGUUUGAUAAUUAUGUUACAACCUUGUCACCUAAUAGUCUAGAUAAUAAGUUACAUUGUUGUCACUGUGUUACAUGUCACAACUUUUCUCUGAGGGCAUGCACAGUAAAUACUAAAUACAAAGAGCAAAACAUUGACCAGUGACCAUACAUUAAUCACCCGACUCAACCGUAUUGGCUCGCACCAAAUCAAACGUAUCACAUUAAGCCAGGUGCCCAACGAUUAGAUCAUAUGUACCACACAGCAUUAACUUCAUCACAACCACCAACAAACCAAAUCCUGCCACAUGCCCUCUCCCAUACGAUAUUCAUAGUACAUCUCAACUUUAGGAUGCAUAGACGGAUGCAUUCUCGUAUGAUUUUUAAAUGGAGUCUCAUAUGAUUUUUCAUAAAACAAAUUCUCUUUUAAAAAGAAAAAGGCUAACAAAAGCGCUUGAAGAAAAUUAAGUAAAAUAUGAUCAUAAACGUAAUAAAGAAUAAUGAUCUAAAUAUAAAUAUAAUAACACAAAUCUUGUAAAAGAACAUCAACCACAUACAUAUACCUCAUCAAUCAUAUCACGUAACCAAUAGUGCAAGAAACUAGACAUUUUUGUGUUAAUUUUCAUUGCAUUACGUCAAAUUCACAUCCUACUUGUGCUAUGAAGCAUUGAACAUUCAACGACAAUGGUGGUUAGUAAGACCCAAAAGAAAAUGAACAUAUGAUAAUAUUUAUUGGUGCAUACACACCACUUGUGUGUAUUUGUGUUCCCUCCUACCUACGUUAUUACUCCCAUCUGAUGUUCUUUAUAAACCCUACCCUUGCAACACCUUACUCACCAAGUAAUAAGCAAGAAACUCCAUAGCGAAAAAGAAAAUUCACGUUAUAUUGUUAGUUUAUUCGUCAUUUCUUUCUUUGAGUAGUAAUGGCAAGCCUCAAGGUUGCAUUUGUGGUUGCUGUGCUAUACAUGGUUGUGGUGAGUGCACACAUGGCACAUGCUAGGAUCAACUGCGGCCGUGUCGCGGUCGCGGUGUCUCCGUGCCUUGGCUACCUUCGUCGCGGUGGAAGGCCACAGGCGAGGUGCUGCAACGGAGUGAGAAACCUCCACGCCCUGGCCAAGACCACCGUGGACCGCCGGACGGCGUGCAAUUGCCUGAAAACCUUUGCCAGAGGUCUUGGUAGGGGUGUCAAUGCCAACAACGCAGCUGCACUUCCAAGAAAAUGUAGAGUCAACAUCCCCUACAAGAUCAGCAUCUCCACCAACUGCAACACGUAUGUGAAACUCAUCAUCACCCACUUCAAAUGCUUUCAUUUCCUCACAUUUUCAUUCACUAACUCCUACAGUAAUUUCACUAAUACCUAAAGUGCAAUGCUAUACUUAUACUCACUCUAAUAUAUCUUAGCACAUUUGCAAAGAGAGGAGUAAUGUUUACCAACGGGAUUAGAUCUAGUGAAAGGGGUUAUGAGGAACUAAGAUUUUAGUCCCAAUUAAAAAUAGUAUUUUAGGGUGACCUAAAUAUGAUUGCCACCGAAAGGAUAUACCUGCGCGGAACUAAAUGAAAAUAGAGAAAUGCUACUUUUAGUUUCUUAAAAAUAAUUGGUUUCUUUUUAUCAUCUAUUUAUGAAAAUUUGCAUAUAUGAUACAUGAACUCUAUUUUCAUAAACAGGGGACCAAAGCAGAUUUUUUUUCUAGCUUUUUGAAUGAUAAGGACCAAAAAUAAUAAUACAUUUUCAUAAACGAAAAAGCAGAAAUUGGUAAUUUAUUUUUUGGGAGAUUAAAAUUGAACAUUGUAUUGUUUCAAAGGACUAAAAAGUAUACUUAUCCAAUUUUUAAUUAUUAGUUAAAUUUUAUCAAGAAAAACAUGAAAAAAAAUUAAGUAGGUCUAACCUUUUGUUUAUCGAGUCUCAUUUAUAAUUUUACAUAAUGCAAAAGUAUUUUUUUUUUAAGAAAAAGACAUGUUAUUAACUUUAUUUAAUGAUAUUUAAAUGGUGUUAGAAGUUUAAGAACCAGCUAGUGUCACAAGUUUGCAUAAUUUAUUUUUAGAGUUUAAUAUCUACACAAUAAUAUAAAAUAAAUUUAUAUUAUUAUUCAAUCAUAAAUUAUUAUUUAAAUUAUUUUAAAAAUUAAUAAACUUAUAGUACGAUUAAAUGUUUAUGUAAUUUUUUACAAUGUUAGUAUAUAAUUAUUUUUCUCUUUGUUUUAUGCACUUUUUUUUGUAAGUUUAAUUUACUUGACGAGCAUAGAUGAUUAUUUUAGUAUGAAAAUGUGUAGUUAUUUGAGGUUAUUGGUUAAAUGGUUGUGCAACAUUGCAGGAUCAGGUAAGGAUGGAUGUGGUAUAAGGAAGAAACAACAGGGCAAUUUUUCAGUCACAGGGCACUAUAUAUACGAUAAUAAUAGUGCUGCUGAAUUAACUAAUGAAAAAUAAUGGGAGGGCGAUGAGGGCUCUACUUGUGCGAGUCUCUUCUUGGUCUCGGUGUGUCCCUUAGUUGUUUCAGGCUUUGGUCCAGUAAUUAUGUUAUUAUUGUAAGUACGUGUUGGCUGAAAUUUCUCUCAUUUGGUUGUUGCAUGUAAUAAUGGCAUAUAUAUUGUGCUGUAAUUCCUUGCUACUUGCUACUUUACAUAUGAAAAACAAUUGCACUUGUGUUAAUGGUUUUUCUUACCUUAAUUCCAAAUAAUUUGUCCGCAUAGCGUAUUGGAAUUUGGAAUCCUCAGCUACUCAAUUACUCAAAUAAAAUUCUUCUAGACAUAUUUGAUACAAAUACAUAAAAUAUAAAUAUUUAUAUUACAUAACUAAAAUUAUGAUAAAUAAAUACUUUUGAUUAUAUAAAUUAUAUUAUUAAUAUUAUAAUUAAAAUUGUUAUAAAUAAAUAUCAUUGAAUAUACAAAUUAUAUUUUAGAUUAAUGAUAAACAAUACUACGAUACAAGAAUGUUAUUUUAAUUAUUGAUAUUUAAAUUAAUUUAGAAAAAAUAUGAAAAUUAUAGAUUAAAAGAGAUAAGAAGUUAAAAAAAAAUUUUAGAAGUACUCUCACUGAAGAAAAAUUCCUAAAAGCACUUUCACAGAAAAAUAAUUUCUAAUAGCAUUCUUAUUCAAUAAUACUUGACUUUGAAGUUAAAAAUCCAAUGAAAAUGUUUUAAAACAUUUUUUAAUAGAUAAGUAAAAAGUUAAUUGUUCUCAUGUAAAAGUUCAACAUCAUUAGACGGAGUUAUUUUAGUUUAACCGGUGAUUUUAAGUUUAAGUUUUAAAUAUAUAAUUAUAUUCAAUAUUUUUUUAAAAAAAUUAUCAUUAAUAUUAUUUAUAUUUAACUCAAGUAAGAUUGUCUAUUAUAAAAAACAUGUAUGGUCUCUUGAUCUUGUUGAUUUUUUUCUUAUUUUUUUUAUAUAAAUCAUAGGUAUUUUUUUAAAAAAAAUUACCUAUGAUUUAUGUAUAUAAAAAAUACCUAUGGUUUAUAUAAAAAAAAUCAAUUUUAAUAAAUUGGUAAAUGUACUAAUACGUCCCAAGUAGUAAACUUAAAAUUGAAAUUCAAGUGUCGAAUCCAUAUGGAUUUUUUUAUACUUAGGUAGAUGAAUAUUUUAUUAAUAAAAGAAGUUAAAGAAAAUUGAGUUGAAAAGGUUAUGAGAAAAAUAAUAAUUUAAAUUGGUAUAAAAUUAAGUAAAACAAGAGAAUAAAUUAAAUAAGAAUUUAAUUUAAUUAAUUAAAGAUAAAAAAGAUAAGAAAAUUCAGAAGAUGAGAAUGUUAGAAACUUAACCUACUAGAGCUACUCUUUGAUGUAAUGUUAAUUAUUUUUCCUAUUUAUAAUUAUUUUAAUUUACACAUGGAUUUACUAGUAUACUCUAACUUUGGUCUUCCGCAUGCAAGAGCCUACUUUACACCUGCAUCUACUAGUCAAUUGCAUUAAGAAUAGAAAUGUAUAAUAGACUAAACAAAUAUCAACAUAUUCCUAAUGAUAACUUUAUUUAGAUAAUCUUUCUCAGUUCUAUAAGAAAAUAAUAUUUCUCAAUGUUAUCCCUAAAACUUACCAUGCAAGUGGGUGAUCAAGCCACAAACAAUAAUAUUAACCACAAGAAAGAAUAAUACAAAUAUAAUAUUAUUAAAUAGAUAGGAAGAUAAAUUAUAUAAAGAGUAGUUGAUUGCCAAGUUCCUGACAAAAGGAGUUUAGUUUCUCAUUGUCAUAGCUAUUUUACAAUUGCAAGAGGGAAAUAUUUAGUAUAGGAGAAAAAGAUAAGAAACAAAAUGGAGGGGAGGAAUAACUCAUAUUUCUCCUUCAUCUAGCUCUUGUCUUCUAUAAAUAAUUGUAUUUUCUUGAAAUUUCUAUGUUUUUUAUCUUCUUCUUUUCUCUUCUUUUAUAGGUAUAAAUUAGCUAGCUUUUUGAACUAAGUUCGUCUUUACUUUCUUGAAUUAACUUAUUUUUAUUAAUUAAUCUAUUUUUCUUAAUUAGUCUACUUUCCUUAAUUAACAUAUUUUCCUUAAUUAUUUUUAUAUUCCUGAAUUAUUGAUUUUACUCACUAAGUAUCAUAAGUUUAUUACUUUUAAGAUUUUUUACACAGCAUAAAUGAUAUUAAUUUAAAAAUUAUUUGUUAAAAAAAAUAAGAAAAAAAUAUUAUAAAUUCAUAUAUAAUUUAACCCAAAAAUAUAUUCAUAAUUAACAAUUACCAAUCAAUAUGAUGAAGAGAUCAUACAAUUACUUCAAUAAUGUAUUAAAUUGAAUAAAUAAGUGUUAUAAGUGAAAUUAUAUAUGGACAUAUUUGGUAGGGGAGCUUUUUUUUAUAUAUAUCAGCAAAAUAGCAUUGAAAUAUAUAUAUGAAUACAAGGGGUAUGCAACCCUUUUACAAGUCACAUGUAGUGUAUAGGAAGAGUCCAGAUCCUCUGCAGUAGAUUAAAGGGGUAUUUGAAACAGUAGAAUUUUUAUUUGUCAAUCUUAAUUUUAAAUUAUAUACCUAAUCAUACCAGAUCCAUUCUAUAUACAUGAUUGUUAUUAAAAUACUGCAUCGGUAUAUUUAUGGAUAUUAUAGAAAAUGAAUCUAAUAUCAUUAGUUGUAUAGUUUAAGAUUAGUCAAUAAAAGUUUUAAUGUUUUAAAUAGUGCUCUAAUCUAUCGCAAAGGAUCCGCACUUGUAUAGGGAUGUUCACUCCCACCUGCCCCUCUGGAUGGUUACAAAAUAUAAAGUAUAUAUUGAAGUUAUCAUGCCACCUCUAGAUGGUUUACGGGGCAUUAAAUGUAAAGUUAGUGGUUGAAAAUUAUUUAUGCCAAUUUGGUCAUUAAUAACUUCUAGCCAACCUACUAUAUCGGGUUUGUGAGCCUGAAUGGGGAUAACAUACCCAAUUUUGCUUGUACAUGAUAUGGUACUGCUGGUACCAUAGUUUAAAAAUAAAAAUUAUUAUUUGUCGAUGUAAAAAACGAUAACCACCGUCCAAAAAUGUGUCCCUGUAUAAUUUAUAAGUCUAUAAUUCCAAUAUCUAAACCCAAGGCUGAACAUGCGUGGCUAUCACGAGACACGUUCAAGCAACAAAAACACAUCGGAUUCAACAAAAUCCACCAGCCCCAGAUGACCUUCAUUUGCCCAUAAUAUGAAUUUUGAAUUUCCGGUGUAUCAAACGAUCCAUGCAAAGUCUAUUUCCAUCGUGUUACUUUCAUCCCACCCACGAAAACUUCACAGUGAGGUGAAUGUGUUACAUCAAAUGAUUCUUGUCAAACUCUAACCCUUCAAAGAUACAUUUGUUCCUAAACUUCCAAAUGGCCCAAUGGUUUAUAAGGUAAUGUUUUGAGGGUGUUUAGCCAAAUAAAUCAUUAUUUUCAAAUAGUACAACCUAACUACAAGAAAGACAAAACAAAGUAUGGCUAAUUUUCUUCUUGUUGGCGACAGAAAACACAUCUAGUAUCAAUCUACACAAUGUUUAUUCUAAAUAGAUAAGACUUUAUGUUUCCAUCUUGCCAACUUUUUGUAAUUCCUCACAAUAGGUGUCCAUGUCACCUCCAUCCUUGGAUGCUCUCACUGGUAUACCCGAUAAGUGAAAGGUAAUGACAUUAACCUACAAUUUAAAAUGUUAGCAAAAAAACUCCAUAGCAUUUCUCCCUAGUCCCACUCCUCCAAAAGUGAUUUUAUAGAUGUUAACUUUGAGUCUUGAGAUGAGCUCACAACAUCUAAUUAGCAUACUCUUACCUUAACUUGUGUUUGGAUCAGAAAUUUCAAAAUUUCAUGUAAUUUGAAUUAUGUUGAUUUUAAUUUCUUUCAUUUUAUCAAAUGCUUUCUUUGAAUAAAUUAAUUUAAAUUUCUUCAAUUUUAAAUUCUUUGUUUGAAUAGGGUAAUUUAAUUUUCUCCAUAUGCAAAAUUUCAAUUUUAUAUUUUAAAUAGUUGAAAUUUUAAUAUUAAACUUUAUAGAAAACAAAUACAAUCAAAUUUUGAAAUAUUAAUUAAAAAAUAUUUUUCAAUUUUUAAUAGUAAACAAAAAUCCUUUAAACAAGUUAUCUCUAAUUGCUUCCCUCAUCCUACCAAUUAAUCCCACCGUCAUAAUAGUAAACAAAAAUAGUGAUAGGGAAUCUUUUUGUUUGAGACCUCUUUGAGGAGAAAAAUCCUCUGAGCGAGCCGUUAAUCAAAAUAGAGAUAUAAAGUAGAUAUCAAACAUCCUUUGAUCCAAUAAUCAUGAAUUCACUGCUCCCCAAAGGCAAUCUAUGUAGCAUAAUAGCUGAAAAUUAAAAAUCCUAAUAUACUAAAUCAUAUUUCUUCUCAUAGUCUACAUUAUACAUCAAGAAUUUCUUCAUUCUCCUCUUUGCCUAAUCAAUCAUCUCAUUUGCCACCAUGAUACUGUGCAACAAAUUAAUGUGUGACCUUCUAAGAAAUCACUUUGUCUAGCAUUAAUCGCCUUAGGCAACACCACCUUGAGUCUUCUUGCAAAGACUUUAGCCCGAAUUUUAUACAUGCAACCCACUAAAAAAGUGAGUCUAAAAUUCCUAAGAAUAUGUGGAUCAUCAGUCUUUGGAAUCAAAUUAAGUAAUAAAAGAAGGAUUUUAAAUUGAUAAUUUCAUUUGUAAUCACUUAAAUGAGUGUGGGGUUAUUUGAAGUUAAAAAAAGUAGCAUGGAGACAACACAUGGAAACACAAGGCAGUAAAGUUUUCAUAGGCACCAGGAAGCAUGUAACAGGUUGAAAAGUGUGCAAAACCAUAAGCUAGCCUAUUCACAAUUGACUUGCGAGUCACUAAUUUUGCUAAACUUUGCUAAACAUUGACCAGCUCAUACCAAUUUGAAUAUAUUUGUGAUCAAAUAAGAGGCUCGAACAUGAUAGGUGAUCAUUUUUUAUUCAAACCGAUUGAAUCGAUCAAUCAAAAUGGAGCAUGAUCGAUAACACUUGGUGAAGGGAGUAAGAGGCCUUACGAGUGAAGCGGUGAAAAAGAAUCUUUCUUAGAGUAUCAGGAUGAGAAAGGAUAGUAUAAAUAUUAACCCCUUACAAUAUGUUGACGACACAAUUUAUUUUCUUUGCCCAACCUUGAGUGGGUAAUGUCAUCAUUCUCAAAGUAAAUCAGAUUCUUUUUUUCUAAAAUAAAGAUAUUUUGUUCAUCACACAUAAUUUUACGUUUUUGAUAAAUUGUAGAGAUAUUAAGUUCAUCCAGAAACUAUACAGUAACUUUCUUAGAGGUUUCUAUCUUUUUUAUUUAUAAAAAAAUAAUACAUGUAAAAUAAUUUUUACAUCAUUUUUGCGUCUAUUUCUCUCUAUAUCAUUUAUUAUAUUUUUUUCUUUCCUCUCCGUUGGUUUUUUUUUUUUAAAAAAAAAAACUCUUUCUCUACUUGCUAGUUGUAAAAAUUAUUGUAUAAUUUAGAAUAAAUAGUCAGUUUUAUUCUUAAAUGUGUAAUUCGCUCAUAAAUGCAUCCCGAAAAAUGAAAAUAUAAAACUUAGUCCCUAAAAAUGUAAAAAAAAUUGCAACAAAAUAUAUUCAAUAAUUAACUUUCGUCAGUCACCGUUAAUAAUAUAGUUUACAUGACACACAGGGACAAAUUUGCCACUAAAAUAAUUGUCAAUGUAGUCAUAUCUAAUUAUCAGCAUAUGAGCAUAUUUAUCGUAUAAUAUUUUUUUUGACUUUUUAUCUUCCUAUUUUGCUGAUAAAUGUGUCCUUAAAAGAUAAAAAUACAAAAUUUAGUCCAUAAAAGUGUAUAAAAUAUGACAAAUAUAUCUGGACGUUAAUAGUAGAUUGUGAUUAAUUAUUAUAAUUUGAAAAAAAAGUAAAAUGAUUGUGACAAAAUUUUUGGAGAAUUAUAUCAUAUUGGUAAAUUUUUGUUUCAUUAUAUAAUUUUUAAGCUAUCAACACAUAAGAUAAAAAAAGAUUUUUUUUUACUGUAAAAGGAUAAGAAAAUCAUGGUUUCUAUUUAAUCAAAUACUAUUUAUUUAAUUAUUUUUUAUAAUUUUUUCAUAAUAAAAUAUGAAUAUUUAUUACUAUAUGCAAUCACAUAAAAUUAAAAAUUAUAAUAAAAAUUUGUUGAUUUUUAAAUUAUUUUUUAUAAAUCAUACACAAUUAUUUUUUAUUAACUAAUCAGUUAAAAAAUCAAAACCUUUAAAAAAAUAGUUCCAAAGGCUGUGAGUAUUUUUUUACAAAUUAAAUGUGUCAAUGCAAUUGAAAUUUUUUCCUAAAAAAUAUUCAUGGAUGCAAUUUAAUUAUAAUACUCUACAAUAAGUAUUUUUUAUACUUAAAUCUUUCAUUAAACAUGAAAGUAUAAAAAAAUUAUGAGUUUAUAAAAUGAGUUUUUUCUUCUUUUAGACUCAAUUUAAUUUACGAGUUUUUUUCAUUAAUUUAAAGUUAAUAAAACAAAUACAAAAAUAAUUAUUUAUUAUAUUUUUUCUUAUUUUUUUUUACUUUCACCUCUUUAACCUUAAUUCUAAGAUCUAAACUUCAAUUAAUAAUCAAAUCUAAAUUUUAAAUUCACAUUUUCUUUUAUUUGUUAAUUUGAGAUAAGUUAAGUUAAAAAAAUAUUAAAUUACUAAUUCGAUCCUUUUGUUGUUAACAUUAUAAAUUUUUUUAAAUUAUAAUAAUUAGUCACAAUCUAUUAUUAAUAUCUAGAUAUAUUUGUCACAUUUUUUACAUUUUCAAUGAUUAAAUUUUAUAUUUUCAUAUUUCAUAAACGUAUUUGUCAACGAAUUAUACAAAGUAACUAUUAUCAUAUAAUUUAUUACUAUUAUAUAAUAUAAGUAUAUUUAUCUAAAAAUAUAUAUAAAAACAUUACACAUAUCAAUGAAGAAACUAGUUACUGCAGGACCAAUUAAUAAAAGCAAUGCAAUUCAAUCCUCGAAAUCUGUAUUGGGGGCACCAAAUCAAGCGUCAUAUAUUAAGCCAGGUGCCAAAAGAUUAUACCAUGCAUGCACCACCACCUAGCAUUAAAUUCCUACAAACAAAAAAACAGUACUGCCACAUGCAUUCUAGAUAACCCUUAGUUACGUUCCCACAUCCCUAGGAGUCCUAUCUUAUCUCCUAUAUAACCCCCCACACUUGCACCACUUCACUCACCAAGCAAUAAGCAAGAAUUUCCAUUGCAUGCAAAGCAAAUACUCAUUAUACUACUAGUUUUAAUUUGUUGUCAUUUGCUUCUUUCUUUGAUUAGUGAUGUCUAGCUUUCAGGUUGCAUAUGUGUGGUUGCGAUGAUGUGCAUGGUUGUGCAAAAAAUUCUCUUGACUGACGUCAAUGAAAAAAUAACUCUAACCAACAUCAUCUAAAAAAAAUAUUAGCCGACAUCGAUAAAAAAUAACUUUGGUUAAUAUCACACAAAAAAAUUCUGAAUGAAAAAACAUAGGCCAACGUUAGUGUAAAAUAACUUAUAUCGAUAUCGGUCAUAAAAACUUUGCUCACCCGUUGUUGCAAUUGUUGAAUGAGAAAGAAUCGCGAGCAAGAACGUAAGUUAGAGUGACCAUCUCCGAAAAAAAUUUCAAAUUUUAUAUUUUUUUAGAGAAUUUAAAAUCUCACUGUUUUAAUCAAUUAAAAUGAUUCAUAAAAAUAUUAAAAACUAAAUCUUUUUUCAAAUAUUUUAUUCAAACAAAUUAUUUUAUUAUGAAUUUUUUUAAGUUCCUUAAAAAAAUGAAUUUCACUCCAUCCAAACACUAUUUUGUUAAUGGAAUGACAACUAUGUGUAGCAUCUCCAAAGAACAUUCUCUCGUCAACAUAUAUAGCAGCAAGUCAAUUUCAAUGCCCUUCAUACCCAUAAGGUCCUCUUUAAACAAGUUAUCUCUAAUUGCUUCCCUCAUCAUACCAAUUAAUCCCACCGUCAUAAUAGUAAACAAAAAUAAUGAUAGGGAAUCUUUUUGUUUGAGACCUCUAUGAGGAGAAAAAUCCUUUGAGCGACUGCCGUUAAUCAAAAUAGAGAUAUAAAGUAGAUAUCAAACAUCCUUUGAUCCACUACUCAUGAAUUCACUGCUCCCCAAAAGCAACCUAUGUAGCAUAAUAGCUGAAAUUAAAAACCCUAAGAUACUAAAUCGUAUUUCUUCUCAUAGUCUACAUUAUACAUCAAGAAUUUCUUCAUUCUCCUCUUUGCCUAAUCAGUCAUCUCAUUUGCCACCAUGAUACUGUGCAACAAAUUAAUGUGUGACCUUCUAAGAAAUCACUGUGUCUAGCAUUAAUCACCUUAGGCAACACCACCUUGAGUCUUCUUGCAAAGACUUUAGUCCGAAUAUUUUACAUGCAACCCACUAAAAAAAUUAGUCUAAAAUUCCUAAGAAUUUGUGGAUCAUCAGUCUUUGGGAUCAAAUUAAGUAAUAAAAGAAGGAUUUUAAAUUGAUAAUUUCAUUUGUAAUCACAGAAGUGAGUGUGUGGUUAUUUGAAGUUAAAAAGGUAGCGUGGAGACAACACACAGAAACACCAGACAGUAAGGUUUUCAUAGGCACCGAAAAGCGUGAAAAGUGUGCAAAAUCAUAAGCUAGCCUGUUCACAAUUGACUUGUGCGUCACUAGUUUUGCUAAACACUGACCAGCUCAUACCAAUUUGAAUACAUUUGUGAUCAAAUAAGUGGCUCAAACAUGAUAGGUGACCGAUUUUCAUUCAAACCGAUUGAAUCGGUCGAUGAAAAUGGAGCAUGAUCAAUAACACUUGGCGAAAGGAGUAAGAGGCCUUACGAGUGAAGUGGUGAAAGAGAAUCUUUCUUAGAGCACCAGGAUGAGAAAGGAUGGUAUAAAUGUUAACACGUUACAAUUUGUUUACGACACAAUUUUCUGUUGCCUAACCUUGAGUGGGUAAUGUCAUCCUCCCCAAAGUAAAUCAGAUUCCUUUUUUUUUUUUCUAAAAUAAAGAUAUUUUGUUCACCACACAUAAUUUUACGUUUUUGAUAAAUUGUAGAGAUAUUAUGUUCAUCCAGAAACUAUACAAUAACUUCAUUAUUCUUCUCUUUUGUUAUCAUAUCACUUGUUAUUUUAUAUUUUUUCUUUUUUUGUUUUCUAUUUUUUCUAUCUUUCUUAUUUAUAAAAAAAUAAUACACAUAAAAUAAAAUUUACAUCAUUUUUGCAUCUAUUUCUCUCUAUAUCAUUUAUUAUAUAUUUUUUCUUUCCUCUCCAUUGGUUGUUUUUUUCAAAAACCAAAACUUCUUUCUCUGCUUGCUAGUCUUAAAAAUUAUUGUAUAAUUUAGGAUAAAUAGUCAUUUUUGUCUUUAAAUGUGUAAUUCGCUCACAAAUGUGUCCCUGAAAGAUAAAAAUAUAAAAUUUAGUCCUUGAAAAUGUAAAACAUGCAACAAGUAUAUCCGAUCAUUAACUUCCGUCUGGUACCGUUAAUAAAAUAACUUAUAUGACACAUAGGGACGAAUUGUCACUAACAUGAAUGAUUGUCAAUGUGGUCAUCUCUAUUUGUCAGCAUAGGGACAUAUUUGUCAUAUAAUAUUUUUUUUUUACUUUUUGUCUUCUCAUUUUGCUGACAAAUGUGUCCCUAAGAGAUAAAAAUACAAAAUUUAGUUCCCGAAAGUGAAAAAAAGAUGACAAAUAUAUCCGGACGUUAAUAGUAGAUUGUGAUUAAUUAUUAUAAUUUAAAAAAAUUUAUAAUGAUUGCAACAAAAUUCUGGGAGAGCUAAAUCAUAUUGGUAAGUUUUUGUUUCCAUUAUAAAAAUUUUAAGCGAAGUAAAAAAAAUUACUAUAAAACAAUAAAAAAAUCAUGAUUUUUGUUUAAUCAAACACUAUUUAUUUAAUUAUUUUUUUAUAGAUUUUUCAUAAUAAAAUAUGAAUCUCUAUUAGUAUAUGCAAUCACAUCAAAUUAUAAAUUAUAAUAAAAGUUUUUUUAUUAACUAAUCAUUUAAAAAAUCAUAACUUUAAAAAAAUAAUUCCAAAGGAGGUGAGUAUUUUUGUACAAAUUAAAAGUGUCAAUGUAAUUGCAAUGUUUCCUAAUUCGAUCUUUUUAUCGUCAUCAGUAUAAAAAAUUUUAAAUUAUAAUAAUUAUUCACAAUCUAUUAUUAAUAUCUAGAUAUAUUUAUCAGAUUUUUUUCACUUUUAAUGAAUAAAUUUUGUAUAUUAAUAUUUUAAGAAUGUAUUUAUCAAUGACUUUUACAAGUAACUAUUUAUUACUAUUAUAUAAGUAUAUUUAUCUAAAAAAAUGUAUAAAAACAUUACAUAUCAAUGAAGAAACUAGUUAUUGCAGGACCAAUUAAUAAAAGAAAUACAAUUCAAUCCUCGAAAUCUGUCAAGGUAUGGAGGGAUAAGCUAUAAUAUUAAAUAUAUCAUCCUAUUCAGUCGUAUUUGGGGCACCACCAAAUCAAGCGUCACAUAUUAAGCCAGGUGCCAAAAGAUUAUACUAUGCAUGCACCACCACCUAGCAUUAAAUUGAGCACAACUGCCACCAAACAAAAAACAGUACUGCCACAUGCAUUUUCCAUAACCCUUAGUUACCUUCCCACAGCCCUAGGAGUCCUAUCUUAUCUUCUAUAUAACUCCCCACACUUGCACCACUUCACUCACCAAACAAUAAGCAAGAAUUUCCAUUGCAUGCAAAGCAAAUACGCAUUAUAUUACUAGUUUUAAUUUGUUUUGUCGUUUGCUUCUUUCUUUGAUUAAUGAUGACUAGCUUUAAGGUUGCAUGUGUGGUUGCGAUGAUGUGCAUGGUUGUGGCCAUGAGUGUUACACCCAUGGCACAGGCCGCAAUCACGUGCGGGCAGGUCGCCGGCGACGUGUCUCCGUGCCUCAGUUAUCUUCGAAGCGGCGGAAAACCAUCGGACGCCUGCUGCAACGGAGUGAAGUCACUCAGCGGUGCGGCAAAGACCACCGCC
rnacentral:lncRNA from 1 species